AAGAAUAUUGGUAAUGGUAACAGUAAUGGACAAUUCCGCUCCCAACCUGUAGAGGGAUUGAAGAGCAAAAGGGCUUUUGUGUUGCUUUAAGGUUAGCCUACUAUAAAGGUGCUGGUUGACAAGUAGCUAAUGCUAAUGCUUGGUAUAACGUUCA